rnacentral:rRNA from 1 species
UACGUAGGGCGCAAGCGUUGUCCGGAAUUAUUGGGCGUAAAGAGCUCGUAGGCGGUCUGUCGCGUCGGCUGUGAAAACUCGGGGCUUAACCCCGGGCCUGCAGUGGGUACGGGCAGACUAGAGUGUGGUAGGGGAGACUGGAAUUCCUGGUGUAGCGGUGAAAUGCGCAGAUAUCAGGAGGAACACCGAUGGCGAAGGCAGGUCUCUGGGCCACUACUGACGCUGAGAAGCGAAAGCAUGGGGAGCGAACAGG